GUUGAAUCGUGAGAAAAUCUGUGGUUUUGUUACAGAUUUUUCUCCCGAUUUUGUGAAUCGCAAUGUGCUGACGCGAGACUCACGACAGGUUGUUUACAUACAGCGAGCAAAAUCGGCCCGACAAAUCGCAGCGUGUAAACGUACCUUAAGCUUUCACAACUUCGACAAUGCGUAUUUUGUCGUUUACACCGUGCAAAUUUACAUGAAGCCUCCAACUUCGAGACUUAGGUAUUUCGAUGUGAGAUUGUUGACGUGGUGACAGCUUGCCUUCAUCGCUGUCAAGAUAUGAUGAUCUGGAAGCCUGGGAAACUUCAAAGCCACAAAAUAGAAGAGCUUUGUUUGAUGUUGAACUAUACCUCACCAUGCACAAAUCCUUUGUCUCAACUUCAUUAAAUAUUAUUCAUCGUGG